rnacentral:rRNA from 1 species
UACGGGGGGGGCAAGCGUUGUUCGGAAUUACUGGGCGUAAAGGGCUCGUAGGUGGCCAACUAAGUCAGACGUGAAAUCCCUCGGCUUAACCGGGAACUGCGUCUGAUACUGGAUGGCUUGAGUUUGGGAGAGGGACGCGGAAUUCCAGGUGUAGCGGUGAAAUGCGUAGAUAUCUGGAGGAACACCGGUGGCGAAGGCGGCGUCCUGGACCAACACUGACACUGAGGAGCGAAAGCCAGGGGAGCAAACGGG